AUAUACAAAUAUGGCAACGCCGCUGAGCAUCGAAAAAUAUAAAUAAUUGGUCGACGAACGGAUGAGAUAUAAACUUGAUAAAUCUUCACAAGUGUAGACAACGCUCGAAAACACAGAUUUCAAAAUGAAAUUCACCAUCUUUUUUGCUGCUUUCUUUGCCGUUUUGGCUAUUGUGUUCGCUACCCCCCAAAAGUUAGUGGGUACUGAAAAAUGUACUUACGGACCAUCAUACUGGUGCAGCAGCAGAGAAAAUGCCCAAGCCUGUAACGCCGUCCAGCAUUGCGAGACCAAAGUGUGGAACAAGCAAAAUUAAGAAGCUUCUCUGCAAUGAACAACGAUUAAUCUCUUAACGAUAUAAUAAAUAUCUUUAUAUUCUUUUAGAUUAGAAAUAGGUGAAAAUAAAAAUGCAUAAACUUUAUUGAU